rnacentral:rRNA from 1 species
AUUGAACGCUGGCGGCGGGCCUAACACAUGCAAGUCGAACGAGUGGCGGACGGGUGAGUAAUGUCGGGGAAACUGCCUGAUGGAGGGGGAUAACUACUGGAAACGGUAGCUAAUCCCGCAUACCAUCAGAUGUGCCCAGAGGGGAUUAGCUAGUUGGUGGGGUAACGGCUCACCAAGGCGACGAUCCCUAGCUGGUCUGAGAGGAUGACCAGCCAAACUGGAACUUAGAGACGGUCCAGACUCCUACGGGAGGCAGCAGUGGGGAAUUGUGCACAAUGGGCGCAAGCCUGAUGCAGCCAUGCCGCGUGUAUGAAGAAGGCAUUCGGGUUGUAAAGUACUUUCAGUGGGGAGGCGUUACCCGCAGAAGAAGCACCGGCUAACUACGUGCCAGCAGCCGCGGUAAUUC